UCCCCGUGUUCAUUUGGCUGUGUGACUGCAGACAGAUUGAUUUACCAAUGCCCCAGAGCCAGUACCGCACUGCCACUGGGACCCAUUUCAAACGCGCCGGAGUCACCCUUACAGGAUUACAAGCUUGCGUUCCUCCAUUUCCAUCACCUCAAAUCAAAUGUUGCUUUAGCUGGCUUGCAGAGGUUCAGAGUCUGUGUGUGUGUUUGUAUAUGUAACUGUGUGUGUGGUAGGUUUUUUAUGAGUGGAUGGAAGAUGGCAUGCCUCAGGGACUGUUUCGCCACCCUGUUUGAUCACUGUUAAUAUGAGUUCCGCCUCUUUUUGUACCGUGAACUAGAGUGAUCAUUGAUUUUGCGCAAGCUGGAUGUGAAUUCUCGUCACCUCAGGGGAAUACGAGGGAGUUCUGAACAAGGGGGGUUCAAUGGCAGAGAGGCAUUUGUGUUCCGGCCUUGCUUUGUGAGUCAUCCCGAUGAAAGAUGAGGACUUGGCAAUGCUGGCACAGGCAUAACACGCUAGAUUUGCCGUGGAAAUGUGCCGUGGCAAACCCUCAAAGUGACAUCAAGGUCUUUUGCAUCGAAGUGGAGGCAGAAGGGGAGAGAGAUGAAAGUAGUGCGGGUGGUUUGGGGAAGGAAGGAAGGAAGGUGUGUGUUGCAAUACAUUUUGUGAUAGUGCUUCUUGAAAUUCAUGAUCUUGUGAUGGUUUGUAUGUGUGACUGUUUAUAUAUUUGUAUGCACACACAACAAUGCACAUUAGCAUUUAUUACCAAUAUGAUGACCAUUACUUGAUUUCCUGAAGUAUUUUGAUAUGUUUAAAGUCAAACUGAAAUUUGAAUUCACACCACAUUUUGUGCUAAGAAAUAUAAACUAUAGAUAAAAACCUCUUUUGGACAAGCUGAAGCCAGUUAGUUUAGCUUGCUAAUGUUAGUGCUUAUUCCCACUAAAUGUUUCUUUUCAUUCAUGCUGUUGCAGCUGCUGCACCCUCAGUGAUGUGUUCUUCUGACAUCAUAAAUAGGAGUGUAUUAGUUGCCUCUUGUAUGGGUUCAUGGUGAUGGAAAAUGACCAGACUGUUAGACUUGCAGCAUAGGACAGUCCUGUAACCUCACAACUCCAUACGUCACCCAGUGAUUUGAACCAUGACACAGGGUAACAUAUGUAUUGCUCAAAUCACAGAAGGUACAAAGCAACAAACUCUGUUUAGUGUCCAUCCACACAGAUAUUUCACCAAUCAAAUUACAGUAUGGAUAUUUUCACGCCCACUGGAGAACACUGAUGUAGCAGCAGAAAAAUAAAUAAAACUUCAAUUUUA